CCUACGGGAGACAGCAGUGAGGAAUAUUGGUCAAUGGGCGCGAGCCUGAACCAGCCAAGUAGCGUGAAGGAUGACUGCCCUACGGGUUGUAAACUUCUUUUAUAAAGGAAUAAAGUGAGGCACGUGUGCCUUUUUGUAUGUACUUUAUGAAUAAGGAUCGGCUAACUCCGUGCCAGCAGCCGCGGUAAUACGGAGGAGCCGAGCGUUAUCCGGAUUGAUUGGGUUUAAAGGGAGCGUAGAUGGGUUGUUAAGUCAGAUGCGAAAGUUUGCGGCUCAACCGUAAAAUUGCAAUUGAUACUGGCAGUCUUGAGUACAGUAGAGGUAGGCGGAAUUCGUGGUGUAGCGGUGAAAUGCUUAGAUAUCACGAAGAACACCGAUUGCGAAGGCAGCUUACUAGAAUGCCACUGACAUUGAUGCUCGAAAGUGUGGGUAGCAAACAGGAUUAGAUACCCCUGUAGUC
rnacentral:rRNA from 1 species